GUGGGGAAUAUUGGACAAUGGGCGAAAGCCUGAUCCAGCCAUGCCGCGUGUGUGAAGAAGGUCUUCGGAUUGUAAAGCACUUUAAGUUGGGAGGAAGGGCAGUAAGUUAAUACCUUGCUGUUUUGACGUUACCGACAGAAUAAGCACCGGCUAACUUCGUGCCAGCAGCCGCGGUAAUACGAAGGGUGCAAGCGUUAAUCGGAAUUACUGGGCGUAAAGCGCGCGUAGGUGGUUUUGUAAGUUGGAGGUGAAAUCCCCGGGCUCAACCUGGGAACUGCCUCCAAAACUGCAUGACUAGAGUACGGUAGAGGGUAGUGGAAUUACCUGUGUAGCGGUGAAAUGCGUAGAUAUAGGAAGGAACACCAGUGGCGAAGGCGACUACCUGGACUGAUACUGACACUGAGGUGCGAAAGCGUGGGGAGCAAACAGGAUUAGAUACCCGUGUAGUCC
rnacentral:rRNA from 1 species